UCUUUUAUUGACUCUGUUACGGUGAUGUAAAAAUUAUUGGUUGGAUUUAGAUCUAAUUGAUUAUUGAAUACCCGUGAGCUAUCAACAGUGAGUGGAAUAGAUUUAAAAUUCACUAUUAAUAUUUCUAAUUUUAUGGCGUCCCUUACCUUCUUGCAGUCCUUUGUUACACAUAGAAUACUUUUACACGGUUCAGAUGAUCAACCUGUUACAAGCAAUUAUGAAAACUCCUCAUUGUAUGUGUUGGAUUGGUUAUUACCAAGAAUUGGACUUCUAGACAAGAUUAUAGUGAAGGAUGUAAGAACAUUAUGUGUAAAUCAUGAUUUUAAUUUUUAAGUUAAUCAAAUUUGGC